AUUGAACGCUGGCGGAAUGUUUUACACAUGCAAGUCGAACGGCAGCACGGACUUCGGUCUGGUGGCGAGUGGCGAACGGGUGAGUAAUGUAUCGGAACGUGCCCAGUCGUGGGGGAUAACGUAGUGAAAAUUACGCUAAUACCGCAUACGAUCUAUGGAUGAAAGCGGGGGAUCGCAAGGCCUCGCGCGAUUGGAGCGGCCGAUAUCAGAUUAGGUAGUUGGUGGGGUAAAGGCCCACCAAGCCAACUAUCUGUAGCUGGUCUGAGAGGACGACCAGCCACACUGGAACUGAGACACGGUCCAGACUCCUACGGGAGGCAGCAGUGGGGAAUUUUGGACAAUGGGCGAAAGCCUGAUCCAGCCAUUCCGCGUGCAGGAUGAAGGCCCUCGGGUUGUAAACUGCUUUUGUACAGAACGAAAAGGUUUCUACUAAUACUAGGAGCUCAUGACGGUACUGUAAGAAUAAGCACCGGCUAACUACGUGCCAGCCGCCGCCGUAA
rnacentral:rRNA from 1 species